rfam:Lepisosteus oculatus linkage group LG14, whole genome shotgun sequence.
GCCAGCAGCCACAUCACCCUGCAACUCACAACUGGCAGCCCGCUGAAGCUCAGCAGGUGUGAGCCUGGCCUGUACCUGGAUGGGAGACCUCCUGGGAAAAACGAAGGUUGCUGCUGGAA